ACAAUUGACAAACUCAUUAAUAUAUCUUUAUGGGUAUUAAUGCUGUAAAGAAAUAAUUUUGUGUUGUAACAACAUGUAAUCAUUCUAAUGACAGCUAAGUAGGGAAUCCUGAUAGGAAUUCUAGAAUAUUCAUUUACUUGUUUGUAUCCUUCAUUGGAUUGUUAAUUCAUCCUUGUUAGUUACUGAGCAUUUACCCUGUGCAGAAGUUGGGGGUACAGCAGGAAACAUCCUGUUCAAAGUCACUGUCUUCUUAUAGCUUCUAUAGAUUCUAUAGUAGGAAAAGCUGGAUGAAUAAACCAUUUAUAAUAGCUUCCCAGACCAUCACAGCUGCCUUAAAGGAGCGACUCAGGAAGCAGAGUCAGCAUUACAUCUAGGAAGGAUCACAGCCAUAGUUUUAUCAAGCACUGAGUUUCCUAACUUUGCUAGGCAGUUAUUGUUUGACCCAGGAAAGUCAUCUAUGUCUCAGCCUCCUCAUCUAUAAAAUACAGCCAAUCUGCCUUACAGGCUAGUUGUGAAGGAUAGGUGCCUAAAAUAUAAUAGGCCAAUGUAAGUGUGUGUUGUUACUCUUUUUGAUAAUAAGCCUCAUUUUAUUUGGCUAAUAUGUAAAAUACGAGAUCCAAUAGGUAAGACUAUUUCUGCCAUAAAAUUACCUUAAAUUAGAAACCAGUAAUCAUGUAUGCACAUGCCAAAAUAUGACUGCUUCGGCAAGUGACAAAUUUGCAUAUACAAUGAUUUUAAUCAAAGGCAC
rnacentral:lncRNA from 1 species